AUUGAACGCUGGCGGCAGGCCUAACACAUGCAAGUCGAGCGGAUGAAGGGAGCUUGCUCCUGGAUUCAGCGGCGGACGGGUGAGUAAUGCCUAGGAAUCUGCCUGGUAGUGGGGGAUAACGUCCGGAAACGGGCGCUAAUACCGCAUACGUCCUGAGGGAGAAAGUGGGGGAUCUUCGGACCUCACGCUAUCAGAUGAGCCUAGGUCGGAUUAGCUAGUUGGUGGGGUAAAGGCCUACCAAGCCGACGAUCCGUAACUGGUCUGAGAGGAUGAUCAGUCACACUGGAACUGAGACACGGUCCAGACUCCUACGGGAGGCAGCAGUGGGGAAUAGUGGACAAUGGGCGAAAGCCUGAUCCAGCCAUGCCGCGUGUGUGAAGAAGGUCUUCGGAUUGUAAAGCACUUUAAGUUGGGAGGAAGGGCAGUAAGUUAAUACCUUGCUGUUUUGACGUUACCAACAGAAUAAGCACCGGCUAACUUCGUG
rnacentral:rRNA from 1 species